rnacentral:lncRNA from 1 species
UUUUUUUUUUUUUUUUUUUUUUUUUUUGUGCUUCUUUCCUGUAUCAACAAAUGACUUUCGUUCCUUGUUUUUCAUUUUGCUUAAAUUUUGUUCAUUUCUUUAAACUUCCUAUGCAGUUAGAAUUUUUCUUUGAACUCAAAUCUUUUCUCUUUUCUUUUAUUUAAAUCUUUCUAGCACCUUUUUUUUUUAAUUUAAAGCUUCUCUCUCUCUCUCCUACAUAUCAAUAACACUUUCUACAUCCGCCACCAUCCUCCCCUUUCGCCCUCCUCUCUUGGUUUAACUGUUAAUGUUUUGGAAAAUACCCUAAGAUGCGGUUAGAUGGGUUGAGCAAACUAUUGGAGAUACUCGACUCAUUCAAUGACCGGUCUUACAACCCUGGAGAUUUAACCAAAUUGAUGAAUCUCAGGUCUUUCAGAGGAAUCGUGUAUCACAAUCUUGAGGAUCUCAAACAAAUCGCCAACUAUAAUUAUGACGUGGACUAUAUGUUCAAAUUAAAACUUUCAAUUAUUCCCAACCGCAGGUAUAUAGGUCAUUAAAUCAGUAUAGUGUAAAUUAUGGUCGAUCCACAAGUAACAAUAACAAUUACUAAGGCUUAUCAAUUAGUCUAUUGCCUAAAUAAUCUCAAAUUAAAGUAAAGUGCAACUACAACAAUGAACUAGUAAAAGCUAUAACUAAUGAUAUGACAAGUGAGAAACAAUAAGAAGAUAGUUCCAGGUUUUUUACUCGCUUAAAUGCUCAUAAAUAGGAGGUGAUUUGGUUGAUUGAAAUUAUUACUCUUGUCUUGCCAAGAAUAUAAUUUCCUAAGACAUUUGAAUAUUGCUUUCACUAAUGACAAGUAUACAUAUACCUAGUCUUCACCUACUUUCGUGGUUGAACAAUUAAGCAUAAGUUUAUGAAGAUAAUGAAAUUACACAAGUUAAAUCCACCUAAAUGCAUCUCUACUUUCAUGAAUCUACAAUUUAGAGCUCAACAAUUUUGAUCUAGUAUUAUUAACCAACUCUAACUAGACAAACAAUAGGAUAGAUGGUUUGUAAUGGUGAUCAAACAACUACAAACAUAAAAAACAUGGAAUACAUAAACUAGCAAGUACAUGAUAUGGUAACAAUCAACCACAAUCAAUCCACGGUCAAAAAUCAAAUAAGUUCAUCUCAAUCCUAGGACAAAACAAACUUAUUGUGGUGAAAACCUUAACUUCUCUAGAUGUUUUUCUUGGAAAAAACUAGCUAAUUUUGUGUCGUCAAAGUGUGCCUCCAAAAGCUAUAGCACCACCCCCGUA